AAUUUUAGUCCAACCUAAAGUAAAUCAAAAUCUCAACAAAUUACCCGUCAUACUUUAGAGCAAUUCAAAUGAGGUACAGCCCAUUUGAUUCAGGGUACAACCACUGCUAACGGGUAACAUACUAUAAAUCACUUUUAAGUAGGCUUAAGAGCAGCCACCUUUUAAAAAGCGUCAAAGCUUAACUUUGUUUUACACUAAUCCAAUUACCUCCAUAGACCCCUUUAACACCACCGAGAACUUCUAUAACCUUAUAGAACCUUUUAUGCUAAAACUAGUAACAAGAGAUAAACCUCUCUUAAUGUGAGCAUAAGCCAGCAAGAACCUGUCGCUGGCAAUUAACAGGCCUACAUAAAGUAGCAACUUCAACCCAGAGAACCCUACUACACCAACUGUUAACCUUACACCAGAACAUUCCAAGAAAGAUUUAAAGAAAAAGAAGGAACUCGGCAAACAUUAGUCCCGCCUGUUUACCAAAAACAUCGCCUCUUGUCCCCAUAAGAGGUCCAGCCUGCCCAGUGACUUUAUUCAACGGCCGCGGUAUCCUAACCGUGCGAAGGUAGCGUAAUCACUUGUCUUCUAAAUAAAGACUAGUAUGAAAGGCAUUACGAAGACUAAGCUGUCUCCUAUUUCUAAUCAGUGAACCUAAUCUCCCCGUGAAGAAGCGGGGAUCUACACAUAAGACGAGAAGACCCUAUGGAGCUUAAAACACUAUAACACCUGCCACUUACCCCCACCCUUAUACCCAGGUAUAUCACCCACUGGCACCCUAAUUAUAUGUUUUUGGUUGGGGUGACCGCGGAGAAAAAAUUAUCCUCCAUGAUGAAAAGGGGUAACCCCUUAAACAAUAAGUCACAUCUUUAUGUAUCAACAAAUUGACAUCUCUUGACCCAAUAUAUUUGAUUAACGAACCAAGUUACCCUAGGGAUAACAGCGCAAUCCACUUUGAGAGCUCCUAUCGACAAGUGGGCUUACGACCUCGAUGUUGGAUCGGGGUAUCCUAGUGGUGCAGCCGCUACUAAAGGUUCGUUUGUUCAACGAUUAAAACCCCACGUGAUCUGAGUUCAGACCGGAGCAAUCCAGGUCAGUUUCUAUCUAUUAAGAGCUACUUUUAGUACGAAAGGACCAAAAUAGCAUGGCCAAUGACCCCGUUAAGCCAUAGUUGAUUAUUUUAGACUGCAACUUAAAGAAUUAUCAACCUUCCCCCCACCC
rnacentral:rRNA from 1 species